UUAGUAUUCUUUCGCUUGUAAAUAAAUUUCGCUAGCAAGAAAUUGUUAUUAUUGGUCGAAUGAUUAACUCCAUUCUUCUUCUUUGUUUGAAAGUAGUUCAGCAAUGGUGUUGGAUUCUGAAGUAGCUGAUGACAGAAUCUAUUCUUUGAAAGGAAAACUAAUACAAACUACAGUCCAGAUGAUGAUACGAAAUUGUGUACAGUUCUUUAGGAGAUUGUCUGCAAAUGGUGUUUAUAAGCAAACAGCAAUGCCAUUAGAUAUAACCCAUAAAACUAAAGAAGUAUGCAAGUUCCAGCCAGGAACCAUGUACACCAGCUAAACAACAGAAGAAAAGCAGGCCAAUUACUGAAAUUGACAAAUUUACAAAGGAUUACAUAUGAAGGUUAGUGUACGAACAGUGUAGCCAUAAUGUUAACAUUAUGUUAGACAGUCUGCUGGAUUUAGUAAGACAAAAUGAUAUAGACUUUUAUGGGGGCCAUACAUCACUUUGUUCAAUUCUGAGGGAUGUUGGAUUUCUCUGGCAAAAACAUGACAGGCAAAAAGUACUUAUUGAGCGUGAGAAUAUCACUGUCUCCAGAAGAAGGUAUUUAUGGCAAAUAAGGGAAUAUCUGUCUUCUGAAAAUCUACUGGCCAUAAUAUAUCUUGAUGAAACA
rnacentral:lncRNA from 1 species